UACGUAGGGUGCGAGCGUUAAUCGGAAUUACUGGGCGUAAAGCGUGCGCAGGCGGUUUUGUAAGCCAGAUGUGAAAUCCCCGGGCUUAACCUGGGAAUGGCAUUUGGGACUGCAAGGCUUGAGUGCGGCAGAGGAGACUGGAAUUCCUGGUGUAGCGGUGAAAUGCGCAGAUAUCAGGAGGAACACCGGUGGCGAAGGCGGGUCUCUGGGCCGUAACUGACGCUGAGGAGCGAAAGCAUGGGGAGCGAACAGG
rnacentral:rRNA from 1 species